UUUACUAAUCGGCCUCUUAGCUGAGCUCCAGUGUGCUGUUCUUCUCAGUUCAGUGUCUGACAUGAUUACGAUUGGAAUAUUUCAUAUUGAACAGAUUUUUACAGUCGGAAGUGAGUUCUGGGGGUUGUUCCCUGCGCUACGUGCAUCGUCACGGUAUUGCGGUAUCUCCGGGAAUGGUGUACACCUG